rfam:Trichomonas vaginalis G3, whole genome shotgun sequence.
CGAACUUCCUUGUUAGGCAUUACCUAACUGGAAAUGCUUAAAUGAAUUAGCGUACAAAGUGGGCUCUGACCGUAAAGCGGUCAUGGCGAAAUGGGAUGAACCAUACGUUUGAAUAAGGUGCCGAAAUGUACUAUCACUGAUACCAUAAAGGGAGUCCAUGUAUUUAGACAGCAGGUCGGUGCCCCUAAAAGCAGGUAUCCGCUAAAGAGUGUGUUAAAACUCACCUGCCGAAUACUAGGGCCCCGAAAAUGAAUGGCGCAUAUAGUACUACCGAUCUCAGACAUCAGUUCUAUUGAACUGAGAGUAGGGGGAUGUGGACAUUUUUGUGAAGGUGCAAUGUGAGUUGGACUGGAAGAAUGUCUAUUACAGAUCCUAAUUGAAGUAGCGAUUAUCCAGGCUUGUAUCCUGGGGGCUGAUGAGGAGUAGGGUUUCUGGACAACUUAAACAGAUCCAGAGUUAGUCGAUCCUAAUCUCAAUAAUGGGAGAAAGGGAGUACAGUUGAUAUUCUGUAACUGACAACAGUUCGCGGCAACGCAUACUAUUUUUCUCCGCCAAUCUUAUACCGUUGGUAGGGAUCUCUUUCCUACAUGACAGUACUAAUACCCAGGGAAACUGGUCAUCAGGCGAACUGCGGCGUUCUGCUGGCAAAACAUAGCUUCGGUUAUGUCAAUGGCUAUUGGAUUGGUCCAUGAAGCGAAAAAUAGUUUACUGUGUCACUCGUACCGAUAACCGCAUCAGGUCUUCUAGGUAAGUAGCCUAUGGCCAUUGAGGCAUGAUAGUUCAGGGAAUUCGGCCAAUUAGAGCUGUAACUUCGGGAUAAAGCUUGGCUCUGAUGAAAAUCAGAACCGAUUGUUACGCGGAGAGCCCAACUGUUUAAUAAAAACGUAGUGUCGCGCUGUGGUAGUAUAGCCAGUGAACGCGACAUGAAUCCUGCUCAGUGCUGUGUCUGUUAAUAUGGUUCAAGCCAACGAAGCACCGGUAAAUAGCUGGGGUAACUAUGACUCUUAUCAAAGUAGCGAAAUACCUCGUCACUUAAUUAGUGACCUGCAUGAACGGAGCUAUGAGGUUCUCACUGUCCCAAACUGUCUCUCAGCGAACCAACUGUAGUGGGAACGGUCACUAGAUAUCCAGCGGGGAAAGAAGACCCUGUAGAGCUCA